UGCCAGCAGCCGCGGUAAGACGCGAGGAAGGAGGGGAUGAUGUCAAGUCAUCAUGGCCUUUAUGCCCAGGGCUACACACGUGCUACAAUGGUAGAGACAAAGGGCUGCUCCCUGGUAACAGGCUGCUAAUCUCAAAAACUCUAUCUCAGUUCGGAUUGAGGUCUGCAACUCGACCUCAUGAAGCUGGAAUCGCUAGUAAUCGUAUAUCAGCAAUGAUACGGUGAAUACGUUCCCGGACCUUGUACACACCGCCCGUCAAGCCAUGAAAGCCGGGGGGACCUGAAGUCGGUAACCGCAAGGAGCCGCCUAGGGUAAAACCGGUAAUUGGGGCUAAGUCGUAACAAGGUAACC
rnacentral:rRNA from 1 species